GUCAAGUACUGCUCUCGACAAAUUACUAGAAUGGUGAAUGAAAAUACUUGGAGGUAGGCUACCAAUGGUAAGAAUAUAGAUGUCAUGAUCUGCCUAUAACUAUUUUGCUGUACUUAGAUUUGAUAAGCCGUUUUUAGGCCAUACUGCAGCCGAAACGUGCUCCUGCUUGCUGUUGCUAAACAUUUUAUAUUUCCAGAUAGGUUAUGAGUUAGCCCUGUUUUAGCCAGUUUGGGGCUGCUUGAGUGGAUGCACACUAAAUCGUAAAAGAAGAGAAAGUCAAUAACUGAAUAUGAUGGAAGAUGUUGAACUCAGGUUUACACAUUAGUGUGCAUGAUUUGUCAAACAAACAUAUUAUAGCCCUCAUGGAUGGUACUGUUUGCGCAGUUAGAAUGGAACGAUGCAAAGAGAUUCAUGAUGUAGAAGAACUUACAAGGGAGGAUCUGAACCGCUUUCAUUGGAAUUUGACGAAAUUCCCAACCACAUAGGUCACACAAAGUUUAAGCCUCCAUGGUAUUAAAAAUGCCAUGUUUGCCAGUCCUCUAUUUAGAGGUGCUUUGGCCUCAUAUUUCUUAUGUUAUUACGGUAUGACAAAAAUUAUCAUUUCAGGUCCUUAUCAAAUGUGUUUCUCCUUUAAACGUUAGCUUGUUCUCUGUGCAUGCUAUCCGAUUAUCCGAAGCAAAACUAAUCCUUUGCACCCCAGCGAUGGAUAAAGACGUGGAGCCGGGUCUGUUUUCCUGGGGACAACCAAUCCUUGAGGAGGCCCAGAGAUUUGAGGGAAGUCGCACACAUCGUCGUUUCCACCGUCCAAAUGAAUUGUUAUAUUCAAUAAAUUUGAGGCUGCCUUGAAGUCUCCACCAAAAGUAAAAAGUUCACAAGCUCGCCAAGAUAGUUGUGCAGAAUUUUCAGAAUACGCUUCUCUUGCUAUUUCUGUUUGGUGGCUGAGGGAAUUGCAGCUACAACACUCAGAUGGCUGGAAAAACUUAUUUUGGUCGUUACAUAUCAGUUCCUGGGUUCCAGGGGACACGGGCCUUGUCAUACUUCCAUGUGUCAGAAGGGCCGGAUCUUGGCAUUCCUGCCCUUACUUCAGAAACAGGAACCGUGGUUAAAAUGUUUUCUGUUGAGCACACUUGUUCAUCAUGCUGUUUCUGAACUGCUUCCGUGUCUUGGUUUCUGAAAGAAAGGCAACCCUCUGCUUGGUCUAGUUUUCUUCUGUUAGUGUUCUCCUUAACACCUGAAUAUGAAACAGUAAAGAGAUUUGGAGAAAAUGUAUCGUGAUAAGAUGUAAAUUCAUAUAUGCAUUUAUCACCAUUAGACC